CUAAGGUAGCGUAAUAGGUCGUCCUUUAAUUGGGGAAAAGUAUGAAUGGUCAGAUGGUGGAAAUACUUUAUUAGAUGUAAUUCUUUGAAAUUUACUUUCAGUGUGCAAAGGCCUGAAUAUAUUUAUUAGACGAGAAGACCCUGUUGAGCUUAGUAAGGCGUGUUCGUUUAGGUUGCGCUGUACGUUUGUUCGGGGCCGAGAGGAAGGGAAGGAAAUUCCUUCUUAGUAAGAUGAGGAUCCAGCAUGGCUGACAAGAAAAAGAUAGUUACCACAGGGAUAACAGCGCAAUCUCUCUGUCAAGAUCUUAUUUGAGGAGGGGUUUGC
rnacentral:rRNA from 1 species